rnacentral:rRNA from 1 species
CAGUAGCCGCGGUAAUACGAAGGGUGCAAGCGUUACUCGGAAUUACUGGGCGUAAAGCGUGCGUAGGUGGUGGUUUAAGUCCGUUGUGAAAGCCCUGGGCUCAACCUGGGAAUUGCAGUGGAUACUGGGUCACUAGAGUGUGGUAGAGGAUAGUGGAAUUUCCGGUGUAGCAGUGAAAUGCGUAGAGAUCGGAAGGAACAUCUGUGGCGAAGGCGACUAUCUGGGCCAACACUGACACUGAGGCACGAAAGCGCGGGGAGCAAACAGGAUUAGAUACCCCCGUAGUCCCUGUCUCUUAUAC